ensembl:lncRNA
CGAAGACCCUGGUCCUCUUUGACACCAUCAGUUCGCCAGAUGGACAAGUUGUGUGUUGCCCUCAUCACAGUCAUAUGGGCUGAUUCCUCCAGUCAGGAUGGGAUCUCUGGAUCUGAGGUGGUUCUGUUAGUCAGACCAGGAGACAACAUCACUCUGUACUGUGACUGCAGAAUAUCCCCUGGUGUAUUCAUCACAUGGUUCAGGAACUGUUCUCAUGAGCACCAACCUACCCUGGUUAUUAGCAUUUCCCGGAAUUUAGAAUCUCUAAAAAUGUAUCCUGGGAUUACAACAUUGUGGAAUCCCUCUAACAACACCUAUGACCUACUGAUUGAGAACAUCACUGAAUCUGACCUAGGACUCUACUACUGUGGGACUAAAGAGACUAAGGUGGUGGAUGAAGGAGGGAAAGGAGGUAUUAAACAGAAGGUGUUGUACCUCUAUGGAAACGUCACCUAUAGACUUUCAUUUGAGGUCAUCAAAGAGGUCAUCCCAGAGGUCAAAUCUACUGUUCCCUCAUCCCCUCCUGCAGCCAGUGGUCUGUGUGGAACUCUGAUGUUCAGUCUGUGUCCUGUGUCUGUUCUCCUCUCUUCUCUCCUCUCCUCCUUCUGUGUUUACUACUUCUGCAGAAAAACAGCUCCAAAUGAGACUUCAGUUCCUCUGAACAGGACGUCGACUAGGGGAAGUGACAGUAGAGAGAAGGAGGAAGAAGACCUGUGUUAUGCCUCAUUGGACAUCCGUCAAGGACAGAAGAGACCAAAGAAGAAGAAUAAAAUCCAGAACUCUGACUUCAGUACCUACUCAGCCAUCAAUACCAUGAGAGUGUGACCUACACCAGCCAUCAAUACCAUGAGAGUGUGACCUAUACCAGCCACAAUACCAGCAGACUGUGACAUAUACUAGCCAUCAAUACCAGCAGACUGUGACCUAUACCUGCAUCCAAUACCAGCAGAAUGUGACAUAUACUAGCCAUCAAUACCAGCAAUAUGUGGGAACUAUACCAGUCA